rnacentral:lncRNA from 1 species
UUACUGAGAAAAAUAUUCAAUCGGUUAUACAUUUUCUUAAUCUGGAUAAUCGUUUAAAGCUUGACAAAUAUUUCAUAACACAGUUUUAUUUUCUCUCAAUCGAUUUAUAACUAUUGAACAGCGGUAUCACUACAAACCAGUAAAAGUCUGAAAUAUCUGUACUCAACUGUACUGAACUUUACUCAACCAGUCUGAAUUGGUCUGAAAUUUACUAGAUAAAACUCGACUGUAGUCUUAACCAUACUUCAUAGUCUGAACUUGUACGUAACCAGUUUAAAUGCGUCUAAACCAUGCCUUACUUAGUCUGAACCAUACUCGACAUAGUCUGAACCAUACUAGACCUAGUCUAAACCAUACUCGACAUAGUCUGAACCAUCCUCGACCUCGUCUGAACAAUAUUCGAUCAGGUUUUAACCAACUUAGACCAUUUCUUUUGUAUCUAUACAUUGUACUUUUUUCAAUUUAGGAAGUGGAAAUUUAGACAACAAUAACAAAUUAUAAAUUAAUUUUAUUUAGCAUUUAAACCAAAUUUCACAAUAAACAUAAUCUUACCGUAACACCAUAUAUAUAACAUUUAAAAAAAAAGAUAAAACAAACUGAUCAAAUUAUCUCAAAAUUGAAUUGUGACUCAUAUUUUCAAUGUCAUUCAAAAAUUUUGAAUCUUUCAGAUAUAUUUUAUUAUUUAAUACUGGACAAUUUUAAUCAUUUAAACUUAAUUCGCCUAAUAUAGAUUUACGGUGUCAGUUGAGUAAAGUAAAUAAUGAGGUGAUUUUUUGUUUUUAUAAUGAAAUACUUAUACCUGUAAAAUAGUAAAUAAAGCAACUUUCAAAAAUGACACCUUUGUUUUGUAAAACAAUGAAUUUAUAAAAUCAUUAUAAAUAACUUUUACGGAAGCGUAUUAGCGCCACACACUUUUUUUUUAAAUUUUUCUUCCUAUGUUUGCGUUGUAACGCAAACCUUUGCGAAAUAACGCAUACUUUUGCGUUAAAACGUAAACCUUUGCGAUAUAAUGCAAACAUUUGCGUUAAAACGCAAACCUUUGCGUUAUAACGCAAACAUUUGUUUUAUCUUAUUUCUUAUUUAAGAUUCAAAGGAAACAGUAGUUAUUAAUGGAGGAGGCUGUAUAUAUUAAAAUUUAUCACCUUUGUAGUCAUUGCAAAGUAAAAUGCUUGAAUAAUUAUAUCAUAUCAUUGACUAAUAAUGAGCAGAAUAAUAUAAGAAGAUGUGGUAUGAGUGCCAAAAUGAAAAAUCUCCAUCUAAGUCACUAUUCGUAAAAGUAAACCAUCAUAGGCCAAAGUACGGUCUUCAACACGGAGCAUUGGCUCACACUGAACAACAAACUAUAAAGGCCCCAAAACGAUAUCCAUGUUACUACUAGUAUAUAAAUUACAAAGAAAAUUGAGUAAAUUGAUGUUAUCCCUAAGAAAAAAAUCAACCCUGCUAAUAUAGCUAUAACCGAAUAUAAAUAUACUUCCAAAGUAAGCUCUGGUUUGAGAACUGUGUAAAGUAGGUUAGAUUCAAACAAGCUACCCUUUGACAAUAAAUGUAUAGAAUGAAGAUGUUUUAUUAACAAAAUUAUGUUCUCUCUAUUCAAAUUGCUAUCCAAGCAUCUUAAAAAUACUUCAUUAUAUUGAAAUGAAAAUGCAAUGACUUUCUAUCAAAGAAUCUUGAUCAUAUUCUGAGAUUUAAAAAAAAUGUUUCGAAGACGAAGAGCUAUAAUCCAAAAGGUCCAAAAAGGUGUAGCCAAAUCCGUGAAAGAAAUCAGAGCUGUGCAUGAGGGUAAAAGUUUAGUUUUUAGGUAAAGGAAUUUAAUCUUCUCUAUUUGAUAAAUCUGAGAAUCAUGUAAGGAUGAAAAAAUCUAAUUUUAUAUAUAUAUUUAUAUCUUUAUUUUAUUGUGGCUGUUGUUAUGAAAAUUAAAAAUAGAUUUAUUCGGGUAACAAUUAAGAUUUUAAAAAAAAGUCGGGAUUAUUUGGUCAAGUAUGGUUCAGACAGGUCGAGUAUUGUUCAGACAUUUAGUCGAGUACGAUUAAGACUGAACAAAUAGGUCGAGUGCAGGUCAAAAACCGGUUAAGACUGUUUCAGACUGGUCGAGUAAUACUUCAAACUAUUUUGAAUGUCAAAGAUAAGGGUCGAGUACAAAACAGUACAGUCGAGUACGAUUAAGUCUAGGGUCGCGUAAUGUAUUAAAAUUCAGACCAAUUCCGACUGGUCGAGUAAAAAUCAGUUCAGUCGAGUACAGAUAUAGGCCAUUUCAGACUGUUACUGGUUUGUAGUGUAUAUUACUAUUGUCGUUACUUAUUAUGUAAGUCAUGCUUUUGAGGUUGGAUAUGAGACUUUGUAUGAGUUGGUCUAACACAAGUUACUAACAAAUUGAAAACAACACGUUUAAUAAUUUCUUGCGUCCGAAGCUCUUUCCUGCAUUUACUUCAUCAGGAACGCUUAAAGCCAAACAUUUGAAAUCCGAAGAUGAAAAAGUACCGAAACCUUUGAAGAGCUAUAUGUCAAAAAUACCUAAAAUAAAUAGCCAAAUUCAUCUAAAGCUAACUUUGCAUGAGGGAGUUGAAACCUUAGUUUCUUAAUAAUUUCAAAAUUUAUAAACGGAUAAUUUCAGUAAAGUUUGUUAAAUCAUGUCACCACCGAAGAAGUACUGACUACUGAGCUGACGAUACCCUCCGGGACUGAUAGUCCACCUGCAAAGAUAUCGACCCAGUGAAUUACAACUCAUGGUUAUAACAUGUUGAUAUAUUUGACCUCUUGUGUAAUAUGCUUGAUUUACAUUAUCUGACAUGUUGUAUACUAAGAUAACGUUUUAUCAAAUAUGCAAGAUAAAUUUAUGCAUUACAAUAUUUGAUUUCAAGAUUUUAUCAAUGAGAUUAAUAUCCCGAGGAUUGGGUUAGUAAAACAAUACUUAUCGGAAACAUACACUGUACUUCUGUACGCAGAUUUUCCUGAAAUCCAAAUAAUUAAUUUGGUAAUUUUGUUCUUUCUUCAAAAUUACCAAAAUAUGUAAAGUAGACUUUGAUGAGUAAAUAUUAACAAAAUGUCAAGAACAACAAAUAUAAUGUCAAAAACUUGAAAGCCGAUGUAUAAUUCUACAAAACGUGCGUAAUGUUGUGUCGUUGUUUUCCUCUAAUAUCUAAUGAGUUUCCCUCAGUUUUAGUUUUGUUACCCGAUUUUGUUUUUUGUCCAUAGAUUUAUGAGUUUUGAACAGCGAUAUACUACUGUUGCCUUUAUUCCGAUAUUCUGAUAACAACGGAGUGUGUAUAAAACAUCCAUUUAAUUUGAUUUAAAAGAAAAUACAAUAUUGUAACAAUAGGAUACCUUGAAUCAUAUAAAGCCAUAACAAAGUUUUUGGUACCCAUCUUUAAGACAGCUAUAAAAUUAUUUUCAAAUCGAAAAGAUUCUCAUUUAAUGGAAUGUUCAAGGUGCUAUCGAUACUAAAAGUUCAAAGUUUCUAUACAAUUUGGAAGACUUAGAGACCUGUUAAUAAUGUUCAGAGUAAUACUGUAAAAAGAUACAAUGAUCAAAAAGUAAAAUCAUAAAAGUACUGAUCUCCGAGGAAAAUUCAAAACGAAAAGUUUAUUAUCAAAUGGAAAAAAAAAAUCAAAGGAUAAAACACAUCAAACGAAUGGACAAGUUAACAACUGUUAUAUUCUUGACUUGGUACAGACAUUUUCAAAUUUAGAAAAUGGUGGAUUUAAUCUGGUUUUAUAGCGCUGAACCUCUCACUUGUAUGACAGUCGCAUCAUAGAUUAACAAAUUUAAAUCACUGAAAUUCUUUACAACAGGUUAAAGGGUUAUAAAAUGUUAUUGACAGGAUGCUUUUAAAAACUUAUAAUCAUGAUCGGUAUCAAAUUAUUUGAAUGAAAAACUAAACUUAUACCAGUUUUGAAAAGAUGAUUAACCAAAACAAAAAGUACCAAAGACAAACACAGAGAUUAUAGCUAACAUCAGGAAAAUACAUUCCUUAAUUCAUAUGAUAAUAAAAAUCUUCAAAUAAAUACAGUAAACACAGUAUAAAAAGCAAAAAUAAAGACUGAGAAACACACCCCAAACGAGUCUAUGGGUGAUCUCCGAUUCUCUGGAAGUGAAGGCAGUUCCCUAUUUAUAUAUAAAAUAUUUUGAACCGGAAUUCUAUAUUUUCCGUUCUUUACCUAAUUUUCACACUUAACAGAAGUCGCUUUAACUUAAAUGAAAUGUUUUCACCAAAGUUUUUCAAAUUGAUUUGUAUUGAUUUCUGAACACGAAAUCCCCCCUCCCAAACAAUUAAAUAGCUUUGAAGUCUGUGACAUCACACUUAUCAGCAUUUCGUACUAGGGUCUCAAGUCAAACAAAAGAAUGUGAAUGAACUUACAACGAAUAAGAAAACAUAUAUUUCCAUAUACACUACAUGGAAUUAAGUACACAUGUCAAUGUAAGAAAGUAAAAAUACAUAUUGAGGAUGAUAGAGUUUCUCUGCUGAUAUAUAAUAAGUCAAAAGAAGUGUUAUAUCCAUAAUUAAAUAUUAUAGUUUCUCUAAUUCUAUGGAAAUAUAUCCCUUUCCGAACCAAUUGUAUAAAAAAAUUUAAUCAACGUGUGGUUGCCGGUGAUCUCAGAAGAUGAUUGGCUGAGUCAAAGGGUCAUAACCUUUCUCAGCUCCCUGAAUUUAACAAAAUGUUCUGACAGGUGUUAAUUAAAUUGACAACUUUGUGGGAAGUGGAAGGCACUCGAAGG